AUUGAACGCUGGCGGCAUGCUUUACACAUGCAAGUCGAACGGCAGCGCGGGCUUCGGCCUGGCGGCGAGUGGCGAACGGGUGAGUAAUACAUCGGAACGUGCCCAGUAGUGGGGGAUAGCUCGGCGAAAGCCGGAUUAAUACCGCAUACGACCUGAGGGUGAAAGCGGGGGAUCUUCGGACCUCGCGCUAUUGGAGCGGCCGAUGGCAGAUUAGCUAGUUGGUGGGGUAAAGGCCUACCAAGGCGACGAUCUGUAGCUGGUCUGAGAGGACGACCAGCCACACUGUGACUGAGACACGGCCCAGACUCCUACGGGAGGCAGCAGUGGGGAAUUUUGGACAAUGGGCGAAAGCCUGAUCCAGCAAUGCCGCGUGUGUGAUGAAGGCCUUCGGGUUGUAAAGCACUUUUGGCGGGAACGAAAAGGACUGUGCCAAUACCACGGUUCGAUGACGGUACCCGCAGAAUAAGCACCGGCUAACUACGUG
rnacentral:rRNA from 1 species